UAUUUCCAAGAAAAUUCAAGCUGAACAAUGCAGUGAGUUAACUUGGAAAUUCCAAGCAACAAUGUAACCUUCAUUUAAUUAAGGUAUUCUCAGCCUGAUGAUUAGCUAAGUUGAGCAUCCCUCAUUGAGUGACUAUUACAUCAAAGGAUCACCU